UACAGAGGGGGCAAGCGUUGUUCGGAAUUACUGGGCGUAAAGGGCGCGUAGGCGGGAUGGCAAGUCGGUCGUGAAAGACCUCGGCUCAACUGAGGAGUGUCGAUCGAUACUGCCGUUCUUGAGGAUUGCAGAGGAGACUGGAAUUCCCGGUGUAGCGGUGAAAUGUGUAGAUAUCCGGAAGAACACCGGUGGCGAAGGCGGAUCUCUGGGCCUGAUCUGACGCUGAGGCGCGAAAGCUAGGGGAGCGAACAGG
rnacentral:rRNA from 1 species